UUCCCAAACCCGCUGAACGCAGAUCCGGUCCCGCAGCGCGCGAUGGGGCCUGUCCCGCCCCAAGCUAUGGGGGGAGGGUAGCCGGCGUCCUGAGGAACCAAGGGUCCCACCCGCUGGUUAUACCCGACAUGGUCCAGCCCUUUCCUUCUGACUGAGCUUCCGCGGCCCCGAGCGCUCCGCUCUGGGGCAGAAUCCCGCGGGUUUCGCCCAAUUCGGACCCCUCUUCCCGGUCAGCCUGGUCUGGCUCAUUGUGAAGGCUUGUUCCAGUGGCAGCUCGGAUUUGGAGCCAGAAUUGAAUAUCCCAGUCCCAGCUCUCAGCAAGGGGCCCGGUGCGCGCUCUCCAGAGGAGGCUGCACCAGAUUGUCAGCAGCGGCUGGACCACAGAUUCACCAUGUCGGCGGGAGCAGUGCCCAAGAUGAACCUGAACCUGGAGAUAUCUCCCUCGCAGCUGAGAAUCUCACUGAGCACCUCCAGCCCUGGGUUGGGGUGGGCUCUGGUCAC